rnacentral:sRNA from 1 species
ACUAAGUGAAUGUUGCAUAGCUAAUGUAUGCGCGUGGUGAAUCCCCCUAUGCGGAGGGGCGACCAGUCACUUACAGUGAUCUGUAAAUGCAGCGCGGGCCAUGCCGACUGGGGCAUGCUCACCGGGAGGCACCCGGCACCACGCAAUGCCACUAAGCUAUUUGGUAGUGGGGUUGUCGUUUCGGCUUCUCCAGCUAU